rnacentral:rRNA from 1 species
AACGAACGCUGGCGGCAUGCCUAACACAUGCAAGUCGAACGAGACCUUCGGGUCUAGUGGCGCACGGGUGCGUAACGCGUUGGAACCUGCCUUUAUGUUCGGGAUAACUCAGAGAAAUUUGAGCUAAUACCGGUUGAUGUCUUCGGACCAAAGCUUUAUCGCCUUUAUUUGGGCCCGCGUUGGAUUAGCUAUUUGGUUGGGUAAAUGCCUACCAAGGAGACGAUCCAUAGCUGGUCUGAGAGGAUGAUCAGCCACACUGGGACUGAGACACGGCCCAGACUACUACGGGAGGGAGCAGUGGGGAAUAUUGGACAAUGGGCGAAAGCCUGAUCAAGCAAUGCCGCGUGAGUGAUGAAGGCCUUAGGGUUGUAAAGCUAUUUUACAAGAGAUGAUAAUGACAGUAGCGGGAGAAUAAGCUCCGGCUAACUCCGUG